rnacentral:rRNA from 1 species
UACGGAGGGAGCUAGCGUUGUUCGGAAUUACUGGGCGUAAAGCGCACGUAGGCGGCUUUGUAAGUUAGAGGUGAAAUCCUGGAGCUCAACUCCAGAACUGCCUUCGAUACUGGAGAGCUUGAGUCCGGGAGAGGUGAGUGGAACUGCGAGUGUAGAGGUGAAAUUCGUAGAUAUUCGCAAGAACACCAGUGGCGAAGGCGGCUCACUGGCCCGGUACUGACGCUGAGGUGCGAAAGCGUGGGGAGCAAACAGG